ensembl:lncRNA
GGAGAGAGAAAGAGAGAGGUAGAGAGAGAGACAGAGAGAGGGAGAGAGAGAGCGUUCGCUCCUCCCCAAGAGAGUUGAAAGGCUAGUCGACCACAGCGAUGGAAAAGGCCAGCCCACUCAGGGAGGGAGACAGAAGCCUGCUCUCGCUCCCCUGCCAUAAUUUCCUAUCAGCCCAUUCAGACAACAUCACCAACUGCUCCGUGUGUGCGCGCGCCUGUGUGUGUGUGAGUGCGCCGGUACAGGAGAAGAGCAGAGCAAGAGAGAGAGAGAGAGAGAGAGAGCCGGGCGGGAGCCAGAGCGGGCGAGCGAGACAGAGACACACUCACUGACAGAGCGAGAGCGUGCACGAGAGAGAGAGAGAGACAGAGAGAGAGAGAGCAAAAAGGGGGAGGCACUGUGUUCGUUCAGCUACCCACACCUCCCUCCGCCCUCCUCCUCCCCUCCCUCCAACUACAAGGAAGGCGGGGCCAGACCCCAGGCUGCCAAUCAAAUCGGCUUGUGGCAGCCGGCAUUAUCUCAGCAACAAACUAUUGACAUAUAACAUGUCAAGGAGUUUAGUGCAUGAUUGAAGGAAGCCCUUUUUUUUUUGGGUUGGCUGGUUUUUAAUCUAGUUACUUUUUGUCUGCUGCAGCGCGUUUCUCCUCUCCCCGACCGACUCGAAUGACUUUCUAUGAGAGUUGAGUCAUAUUAUGAAAGUUACAUGUCUGAGAGGAUUUAACCUCGACUUCCCUGAAUAUGUGUCUGCCAUCAGCACAGCCCCCCUCCCGACCCCCAGUCUCUGUGGACCCGCCCCCUGGAACAAUCUGAAAGGAGUUUAUGCACUGAAACGACCUCAGGAAAACCCAAGAUGGCCGCCAAAAGAAAAGGUGGCCUAAAGCUCAACGCGAUCUGCGCCAAGCUGAGCCGGCAGGUGGUGUUCGACGUGGGCGCCCCCGGCGACGAGGCGGA